UUGAAUUAUCUAUGUACAAGUUUAAUUGGAAUUUGGUUAUGUUUGAAAAUUAUGUUUAAAAUUUGCGAAUGAAUUUUGUUAUGAGCAAUGUAAAUCAUGUUAUAAUGAGAAGGAAAUUGGAGGAAAUGAUUUAUAAAUGAUAUAGAUGACAUAAACUCGGUUAUGGAAUGUUGAAAUGGAAUUUAAGAAUUCCUCUUGAAUUAUGUUGAAUUAUAUUUAAUGAUGUUGAGUUGAAUCAUGUUGCUUAUGUUGAAUUGUAGUGAUUAUGUGAGAUGGUAUUAACUAUGUUGACUUUGAUUUUUGUGACUUAAAAUGUAGAGUUUUCCAAAAUGGGUUAAUCCCAAAUUAUUUUGCUAAAUACUUGUGAGCUUGCUUAGUUGUAAAAUCAAGAGAAUGAUUUAAUUUUUGGAAAAAUGUGGAAGAUGUCCAUACAAUUCCUUCCUAUCUUGAAAUCGAAGUGAUUGAUUAAAAAUUCCAUAUUGUGUUUGCAAGAAUGGUAAUCUUCUAUUUCUAUAUAUAGAUAUAUUGAGAUGGAGGAAAUUGUGGUAUAAUGGAUGGAUAAUGGUAGGCUUGUGAAGAAUAAUGAAGGAAGGAAAAAGAACUAAUGACUAAGUUAUAUAUGUGUACAGGGCACACUUCAGGAGGGCCAAGCACUCAGUUGUAGCACUGUAUGUUUCCAGUAUGUUACAAGUUCAAGUAUGCUGAGGUCACCAAUCAGGUGGUCAGUCCUAGCCAAGACGCCCGCUUUCUUUUGUCAACCUUCGUAUGUCCAGGCACUGUAUAAGCCAUUUAUUUUAUCAAGUUGUUAAGAUGUUGACUUGAUUAUGGGUGUCCCUCUAAGGUUGUUGUAUAUCCUUUCAUGUUUGUUUUUUUUUGUA